rnacentral:lncRNA from 1 species
UCGAUAAUAUCGCGAUAUUUUGACGAAAACCAUUUGGAUACCUAUUAAAAUAUCGGUUCGGCGAAAAACCGAUAAUAUCGGCGAUAUAUCGCCGAUAUUAUCGGCAUUUUGUUCCUUGAGCACAACUAUAAGCAAUAAUAAGUACAAGACUUAAUGUCCUAGUUUCAUGCACUCACAUAUGAUUUGUUCUACCACAUCUCAUCUAAGUAGCCUUCAUAUAAUAAAUUACUUAACACGUCUUGGUUAUGACUUACUUUUUAUUCAUGCCAAAUUACUUAUUACAUCUCAAUUGCAAAUGACAAUCUUUUAUUCAUACGAAACCAGGUGAAAACAAUUCAUCCAAAAAGUCUCGACGUGAUGAAUUACUUUACUUGUUACGUUUUAAAUACAACUUACUUUUUAUCUAGAUCGCGUGUCGCAUUGUUCACAAUAAAAAGUAACAAUCAAUCAACGAAAAUCAUCUUCUUAUUAAAAAGAAGUCCAAGCUCAGAGCAAUGAUACGCAAUAUUUAGGUAAACAAUAUUCCCCCAUGAGAGGUUUGCCUAAACGCCAAAAGGACCCAAAUUUUGCCACCUUUAUUUUUGCGUCUAACACCUAAAUUAUUAGUCUACCUUAUCCCUUGGAAAUUAAGCAUAAACAAAAUGGGAAAAAUACAAAAGCCCCAUGAGUAGGUGGUUUCAUGCUAAAAUCUAGUGUAUGUCUUGUGCCGUUUGAAAUAUUAUCCGCCUCCAACUUUACCUUCCCCUACAUCAAUAAUGUAACCUUCUAAUUUGUAAACAAAAAGUUGUGGCCCCCUACCUAACUGUUGUUGGAGGCAUUUUUGCUCGACACCCUCAAAAUAUACAUAUCUCGAAAUUCAAACUCAUCUAGAGGUGAAAAAUAAAGUGUGAACAUCAUCAUCGCUUAAGAGUGGUGAGCACUGUCACUUAGUACUAUGAUCUAGUGGUAUUCAUCUCCACUACACAGAUCUUGAAAUUCAAACUCAUAUAAAGGUAAUAAAUAAAGUGUGAACAUCAUCAUCGCUUAUGAGUGGUAAGCAAUGUCACUUAGUAAUAUGAUCUAGUGGUAUUCCUUUUCACUUGUAGUAAGAAGUCUUAGGUUCGAUUCUCACCCAGGCUAAUUUGAACCACAUUAUUGCUACAAAUUGUGGUGUUUUAGCCCACUCCCCCACCUGUUAGUGUAGAUAAUAUCAUUUGUUAAAAAAAAAUGGUGAGCAAUAAUUAUCCCCAUUACUACUAUUAGCUUAUUCAAUAUGGUUGUAUGGUAGGUUUGGUUAAAUUUCUAAUCCGUGUUCUUUAUCAAAUACCAUGUUAGAAUAUAAACAUCUAAUUUUAAAAGUUAAUAAUGAAUCAAUUUUACGGGGGUGUGAAAAAUUGUCUCAUCUUAUAAAGGUAUGAAACCUUAAAAAAAUGAAAAGAAACUUAUAAGAAAUCGCACUAUUUAUAUAUUAUCAAUCCGUUUUUAGAUUACGACAUCAAGAUACUUUCAGAUUUAAGACGUUUGUUAGUUUAACUGUUAUUAUAUUUUGGUUUGGAACAAGUCCGCAAAAGUCAUUUGUGAAGCUUUCCAGUUCAAGUUUGUGCAUUAUAUUUAUUUUUCUAACACCCACGAUCAUAAGAGUUCCAAUCUUGCUAUCUUCAUUUUAGAUUAAGAAAAUUGCUUCCAUUAUCUUAUAAAAAAAUAAUAAUAAAUUAAGAUGGGUAGUGUUAUUAUAUUUAUAUGGGUAGGCUGGAGAGCGGUGCGAUGCGCCACAUUAUCCACACUAAUAUGUCACAUUUCAUGCUAUAAAUUGUUCUAGAUGAUAUUAUUCUCCUUGUAUAUGUAAAGAUUUACUUCUUUUCACACGACAACGUGUCAUUACUUAU